rnacentral:rRNA from 1 species
UACGUAGGGGGCUAGCGUUGUCCGGAAUCAUUGGGCGUAAAGAGCGUGUAGGCGGCCCGAUAAGUCCGCUGUGAAAGUCCAGGGCUCAACCCUGGAAUGCCAGUGGAAACUGUCGGGCUGGAGUCCGGAAGAGGCGAGUGGAAUUCCUGGUGUAGCGGUGGAAUGCGCAGAUAUCAGGAGGAACACCAACGGCGAAGGCAGCUCGCUGGGACGGUACUGACACUGAGGCGCGAAAGCGUGGGGAGCGAACAGG